rnacentral:lncRNA from 1 species
AGAAGGCCCUGGGUUCUAAUCCCGGGCUCCACCGCUUGUCGGUUGUGUGACCUUAGGCAGAUGGCUUCACUUCUCUGUGCCUCAGUUGCCUCAUCUGUAAAAUGGGGAUGAAGACCGCGAGUCUGUGGAACAGGGACUGUGCCCAACCCAAGUCGCUCGUACUGCCUCCGAGAGUUCAGUACGGUGCCUGGCACGUAGUAAGUACUUAAACCCCGCAAUUAUUAUUAAGUGGCACAUAUCCACAGGGUGGCUUCUAGGCUGCGAGCCCGUUGUUGGGUAGGGAUUGUUUCUGUUGCCAAAUUGUACUUUCCAAGCGCUUAGGACGGUGCUCCGCCCACGGUGAGCGCUCAAUAGAUAGGACUGAAUGAAUGGCAGUUCUCUACGCAGUGUAGCCUUCAGUUAUUAGAGUCUAAUGGUAUUCAAUCAAUCCAUCAGUGGUAUCUACCGAGCGCUCGCUGUGCGCAGAGAGCACCGUAUUAAGCAUCCGGGAGAGUACUCGGUAACAGAACCGAUAUCCCGUCCCCUUCCCGCGAGGUGACAAUGGAGGGAAUGGUCUUUUCUGCAGGAUUCCUUUCCUGGGAGGAAGGGAGUUCGGCGGCAGAAGGGGUAGCCGUUCGCCGGUGACGACGGACCCCUCCUCCUUCAGACCUCUCUCCUCGGGAUUCCGAGAGGCGGUAAGGUACCGGCGGGACACCGCUGGGGUUUUUGGCGAGGAAUCCUUUAACCGGGCCCGCGAUCGCGGACGUCAUCUUCGAACUUCUACCAGUAACUACGUAUUAGACAGAAGGGGAAUCCCGUCUUUCUGGUACUACCGGCGUGCGACGAAUGGAAAACGAAACACUCUUCUGUAACCUCGUGGAGUACCGAAGAGCAGGGCUGGCCAAUUUACAGGCCCGGAAGAUCUUCCCUCCCUACUAAAUCCCUGGACUGUUAAUCCGUUGCUUGGACCGUGGACUAUUUAUUCUGGAAAAGACUUUCGAAGCACUGGCUUCGCUCCGGCUAAGGCACGCUUACACGACGCGAAGCUCUCCGCUCCGAAGGAAAGGCCUCCGGUGAUCGUCCGAGGUCGGCUCCCGCGGAACCCGGCGUCGGGAAAUCUCUCCCGUCCGAACCCGCGUGGCGG